UUCAUUAUCGUUUUUUAUUUUUCAGAACUUUGGAUAUUACUGGAAGUGAUGCUCUAACCAGAGACAAUAAGCGUAUUGAGUAGUCUAGUUUUGCUUGGAAGAGAAUGAGAGCUUGCAUUUUGAAUUUAUGAGGGGUUACUUUACAUUUCUCAUGUGGGAUGGAAACAGGUUCAAGAUGUCAUAGGUAUUGUUAUCUUACCUUAUAAAUUAGUUUUGCGGUCAAACUAUUGAUUGUCAAUACUGUUUAAAGGUUGCUAAAUUGUCUAACUAAAAGAACAUUGCUAAAUGGAGUUUUCUUAUUCUUUUUAUUGUUGAUUUGGGUGAUAUGCAGUAGUAAGUUUUUGCAGAAGAUUCGGAAGUCAUGUUUUGCAGCUUGAAGCCCCAUUGAGAGGAAUGGCACCAAUGUUGACAGCAAUAGGUUUGGCUCCAUCAUUUCUGGCCAUAGAUUGAGUUCAUAUGUU